rnacentral:rRNA from 1 species
AGAGUUUGAUCCUGGCUCAGAACAAACGCUUGGCGGCGUGUCUUAAGCAUGCAAGUCGAGCGGCAGGCGCAGCAAUGCGCUGAGAGCGGCGGACUGGUGAGUAACGCGUGGGUAAUCUACCUUUGGCAUGGGGAUAGCCACUAGAAAUAGUGGGUAAUACCGAAUACGUUCCCUGGGGGGAGGUUUCAGGGAAGAAAGGGUGCUACGGCACCGGCCGGAGAUGAGCUCGCGUCCCAUUAGCUYGUUGGUGAGGUAACGGCCCACCAAGGCGAUGAUGGGUAGCCGGCCUGAGAGGGUGUACGGCCACACUGGGACUGAGAUACGGCCCAGACUCCUACGGGAGGCAGCAGCUAAGAAUAUUCCGCAAUGGACGAAAGUCUGACGGAGCGACGCCGCGUGGAUGAUGAAGGCCGAAAGGUUGUAAAGUCCUUUUGCUGGGGAAGAAUAAGUGUGGGAGGGAAUGCCCGCAUGAUGACAUGAACCGGCGAAUAAGCCCGGCCAACUACGUGCCAGCAGCCGCGGUAAUA